rnacentral:rRNA from 1 species
AUCCAGAGAACUUAGCAGAGAUGCUUUGGUGCCUUCGGGAACUCUGAGACAGGUGCUGCAUGGCUGUCGUCAGCUCGUGUUGUGAAAUGUUGGGUUAAGUCCCGNAACGAGCGCAACCCUUUAUCCUUUGUUGCCAGCGGUUCGGCCGGGAACUCAAAGGAGACUGCCGGUGAUAAACCGGAGGAAGGUGGGGAUGACGUCAAGUCAUCAUGGCCCUUACGGCCAGGGCUACACACGUGCUACAAUGGCGCAUACAAAGAGAAGCGACCUCGCGAGAGCAAGCGGACCUCAUAAAGUGCGUCGUAGUCCGGAUUGGAGUCUGCAACUCGACUCCAUGAAGUCGGAAUCGCUAGUAAUCGUAGAUCAGAAUGCUACGGUGAAUACGUUCCCGGGCCUUGUACACACCGCCCGUCACACCAUGGGAGUGGGUUGCAAAAGAAGUAGGUAGCUUAACCUUCGGGAGGGCGCUUACCACUUUGUGAUUCAUGACUGGGGUGAAGUCGUAACAAGGUAGGCGUAGCGAG